CCUACGGGCGGCAGCAGUGAGGAAUAUUGGUCAAUGGCCGAGAGGCUGAACCAGCCAAGUCGCGUGAGGGAAGAAUGUCCUAUGGAUUGUAAACCUCUUUUGUCAGGGAGCAAAGUCACCCACGUGUGGGUGUUGGAGAGUACCUGCAGAAAAAGCAUCGGCUAACUCCGUGCCAGCAGCCGCGGUAAUACGGAGGAUGCGAGCGUUAUCCGGAUUUAUUGGGUUUAAAGGGUGCGUAGGCGGGUUAUCAAGUCAGCGGUAAAAUCGUGGAGCUCAACUCCAUCCAGCCGUUGAAACUGAUGAUCGUGAGUGGGCGAGAAGUAUGCGGAAUGCGUGGUGUAGCGGUGAAAUGCAUAGAUAUCACGCAGAACUCCGAUUGCGAAGGCAGCAUACCAAGCUACUUCUGACGUUGAGGCACGAAAGCGUGGGGACCAAACAGGAUUAGAUACCCCUGUAGUC
rnacentral:rRNA from 1 species